AUGAACGCUAGCUACAGGCUUAACACAUGCAAGUCGAGGGGCAGCAUGACUGAAGCUUGCUUCAGUUGAUGGCGACCGGCGCACGGGUGCGUAACGCGUAUCGAAUCUGCCCGUUACUCGGGGAUAGCCUUGCGAAAGUAAGAUUAAUACCCCGAUGUUGUCAUUAUGCCGCAUGACAUGAUGACCAAAGGUUUACCGGUAACGGAUGACGAUGCGUCUGAUUAGGUAGAUGGCGGGGUAACGGCCCACCAUGCCGACGAUCAGUAGGGGGUUCUGAGAGGAAGGUCCCCCACAUUGGAACUGAGACACGGUCCAAACUCCUACGGGAGGCAGCAGUGAGGAAUAUUGGUCAAUGGGCGAGAGCCUGAACCAGCCAAGUAGCGUGCAGGACGACGGCCCUAUGGGUUGUAAACUGCUUUUAUAAGGGAAUAAAGUGAGUCUCGUGAGACUUUUGCAUGUACCUUAUGAAUAAGGACCGGCUAAUUCCGUG
rnacentral:rRNA from 1 species